AGUGGCGGACGGGUGAGUAACGCGUUAGAAUCUGCCUUGGGGUCGGGGACAACCACUGGAAACGGUGGCUAAUACCGGAUAAGCCGAUUGGUGAAAGAUUUAUUGCCCGAAGAGGAGCUCGCGUCUGAUUAGCUAGUUGGUGAGGUAAGAGCUCACCAAGGCAGCGAUCAGUAGCUGGUCUGAGAGGACGAUCAGCCACACUGGGACUGAGACACGGCCCAGACUCCUACGGGAGGCAGCAGUGGGGAAUUUUCCGCAAUGGGCGAAAGCCUGACGGAGCAAGACCGCGUGAGGGAGGAAGGCUCUUGGGUUGUAAACCUCUUUUCUCAGGGAAGAAGCUCUGACGGUACCUGAGGAAUCAGCCUCGGCUAACUCCGUGCCAGCAGCCGCGGUAAUACGGAGGAGGCAAGCGUUAUCCGGAAUUAUUGGGCGUAAAGCGUCCGCAGGUGGCGAUUCAAGUCUGCUGUCAAAGCACGGGGCUUAACUCCGUAAAGGCAGUGGAAACUGAAUAGCUAGAGUGCCGUAGGGGUAGAGGGAAUUCCCGGUGUAGCGGUGAAAUGCGUAGAGAUCGGGAAGAACAUCGGUGGCGAAAGCGCUCUACUGGACGGCAACUGACACUCAGGGACGAAAGCUAGGGGAGCGAAUGGGAUUAGAUACCCC
rnacentral:rRNA from 1 species